UACGGAGGGUGCAAGCGUUAAUCGGAAUUACUGGGCGUAAAGCGUGCGUAGGCGGUUCGUUAAGUCUGUUGUGAAAGCCCCGGGCUCAACCUGGGAAUGGCAAUGGAUACUGGCGAGCUAGAGUGUGUCAGAGGAUGGUGGAAUUCCCGGUGUAGCGGUGAAAUGCGUAGAGAUCGGGAGGAACAUCAGUGGCGAAGGCGGCCAUCUGGGACAACACUGACGCUGAGGCACGGAAAGCGUGGGGAGCAAACAGG
rnacentral:rRNA from 1 species